UGCAAGUCGAGCGGUAGCACAGGGGAGCUUGCUCCCUGGGUGACGAGCGGCGGACGGGUGAGUAAUGUCUGGGAAACUGCCUGAUGGAGGGGGAUAACUACUGGAAACGGUAGCUAAUACCGCAUAACGUCGCAAGACCAAAGAGGGGGACCUUCGGGCCUCUUGCCAUCAGAUGUGCCCAGAUGGGAUUAGCUAGUAGGUGGGGUAAUGGCUCACCUAGGCGACGAUCCCUAGCUGGUCUGAGAGGAUGACCAGCCACACUGGAACUGAGACACGGUCCAGACUCCUACGGGAGGCAGCAGUGGGGAAUAUUGCACAAUGGGCGCAAGCCUGAUGCAGCCAUGCCGCGUGUGUGAAGAAGGCCUUCGGGUUGUAAAGCACUUUCAGCGAGGAGGAAGGUGGUGAACUUAAUACGUUCAUCAAUUGACGUUACUCGCAGAAGAAGCACCGGCUAACUCCGUGCCAGCAGCCGCGGUAAUACGGAGGGUGCAAGCGUUAAUC
rnacentral:rRNA from 1 species